UAUGUGAUCGUCUCUCGCAUAUCAAUAAGCGGAGGAAAAGAAACUAACAAGGAUUCCCCUGGUAACGGCGAGUGAAGCGGGAAGAGCUCAAAUUUGAAAUCUUAAAGGGUUUCCCUUUACGAAUUGUAGUUUAAAGAAGUGUUUUCUGUUGAGGUUUUGGUAAAAGUUCUUUGGAAUAGGACAUCAUAGAGGGUGAGAAUCCCGUAUUUGACCUUUACUUUCAACUUUGUGAUACACUUUCAAAGAGUCGGAUUGUUUGGGAAUGCAGUCCAAAAUGGGUGGUAAAUUUCAUCUAAAGCUAAAUAUUGGCGAGAGACCGAUAGCGAACAAGUACCGUGAGGGAAAGAUGAAAAGAACUUUGAAAAGAGAGUUAAACAGUACGUGAAAUUGUCAAAAGGGAAGCGUUUGACACCAGUGUUGUUUUUCUGAAAAUCAAUUAAAGAACUGUUUAUGCUAAGUUGUUUAGACUUUAUCAGCUAACUGUUUAGUUUUGAGCUUUUCUUUAAUGCACUUUUCAGUUAACAAGUCAACAUCAAUUUCUUUUGCUGUAAAAAAGCUUGAGGAAGGUGGCUUGAGAUUCGUCUUAAGUGUUUAUAGCCUCUUGCCUAUGCAGUCGGAGAGAUUGAGGUCUGCAGCGUAGAUCCUUCGGGGCUAAAUGCAUUUGUGCUAAGUUAUAGCAUUUUAUAGACAACUUGUUGACUAUGAUUUGUCCUGUAGCUUACUCGCUUAUGUUAUUUUACCUACGCUUAGGAUGUUGAUCUGUGCGAGACUAC
rnacentral:rRNA from 1 species